GAGAGUGUUCAUGUCGGUUGGCAGAGACGAGAAUGGAAAAGUAAGUGAGAGUGUUCAUGUCGGUUAGCAGAGACGAGAAUGGAAAAGUAAUUGAGAGUGUUCAUGUCGGUUGGCAGAGACGAGAAAGGAAAAGUAAGUGAGAGUGUUCAUGUUGGUUGGCAGAGACGAGAAUGGAAAAGUAAGAGUGUUCAUGUCGGUUGGCAGAGACGAGAAUGGAAAAGUAAGAGAGAGUGUUCAUGUCUGUUGGCAGAGAUGAGAAUGGAAAAUAAGUAAGUGAGAGUGUUCAUGUCUGUUGGCAGAGAUGAGAAUGGAAAAUAAGUCAGUGAGAGUGUUCAUGUCGGUUGGCAGAGACGAGAAUGGAAAAGUAAGUGAGAGUGUUCAUGUCGGUUGGCAAAGACGAGAAUGGAAAAGUAAUUGAGAGUGUUCAUGUCGGUUGGCAAAGACGAGAAUGGAUAAGUUAGUGAGAGUGUUCAUACCGGUUGGCAGAGACGAGAUAUGCAUGU